AUUGAACGCUAGCGGGAUGCUUUACACAUGCAAGUCGAACGGCAGCGCGGACUUCGGUCUGGCGGCGAGUGGCGAACGGGUGAGUGAUGUAUCGGAACGUGCCCAGUAGCGGGGGAUAACUACGCGAAAGCGUAGCUAAUACCGCAUACGCCCUACGGGGGAAAGCAGGGGAUCGUAAGACCUUGCACUAUUGGAGCGGCCGAUAUCGGAUUAGCUAGUUGGUGAGGUAACGGCUCACCAAGGCGACGAUCCGUAGCUGGUUUGAGAGGACGACCAGCCACACUGGGACUGAGACACGGCCCAGACUCCUACGGGAGGCAGCAGUGGGGAAUUUUGGACAAUGGGGGCAACCCUGAUCCAGCCAUCCCGCGUGUGCGAUGAAGGCCUUCGGGUUGUAAAGCACUUUUGGCAGGAAAGAAACGUCGCGGGCUAAUACCCCGUGGAACUGACGGUACCUGCAGAAUAAGCACCGGCUAACUACGUG
rnacentral:rRNA from 1 species